rnacentral:rRNA from 1 species
UCGGAUUAGUGCGUCGAAGCCCGUAGGGGAGCGGAUAGGCAAAUCCGUCCGCUCAUCACCCGAGGGGCCCUAGGGAAGCGCGCAGAAAUGCAAGCCAACUGGGUGGAUGGACCGCCAAGAAAAGCCUCUAUGAGAGCAAGCUGGAGACCGUACCGCAAACCGCCACAGGUAGGCAGGGAGAGUAUCCCAAGGCGCGCGAGAGAACCCUCCGUAAGGAAUUCGGCAAGUUAGCCCCGUAACUUCGGGAGAAGGGGUGCCUCGUUAGGGUGAAGCGGCUUGCCCGCGGAGCCCGAGGAGGUCGCAGCGAACAGGCCUAGGCGACUGUUUACCACAAACACAGGUCUCUGCUAAAGCGUAAGCUGAUGUAUAGGGGCCGACACCUGCCCAAUGCCAGAAGGUUAAGGGGAAACGUUAGCUUCGGCAAAGCGUAGAACCGAAGCCCUGGUGAAUGGCGGCCGUAACUAUAACGGUCCUAAGGUAGCGAAAUUCCUUGCCGGCUAAAAACCGACCUGCACGAAAGGUGUAACGACCUGGGCGCUGUCUCGCGGAGGGACUCGGCGAAAUUGUAGCACCUGCGAAGAUGCAGGUUACCCGCAACAGGACGGAAAGACCCCGUGGAGCUUUACUAUAGCCUGGUAUUGGUCUCGUGCAAGCCCUGCGCAGGAUAGGCGGGAGGCUUUGAAGCCGGGGCGUCAGCCUCGGUGGAGCCGACGGUGAGAUACCGCUCUUGGCUUGUCUUGAGCCCUAACCCCUGCCGUAAUCCGGUAGGGGGACCGUAUCAGGUGGGUAGUUUGACUGGGGCGGUCGCCUCCUAAAAGGUAACGGAGGCGCCCAAAGGUUCCCUCAGUGCGGUCGGAAAUCGCACGUCGAGUGUAAGGGCAUAAGGGAGCUUAACUGUGAGACCUACAGGUCGAGCAGAUACGAAAGUAGGGCCUAGUGAUCCUGCGGUUCAAAGUGGGAUGGCCGUGGCUCAUCGGAUAAAAGUUACCCCGGGGAUAACAGGCUCAUCUCCCCCAAGCGUCCACAGCGACGAGGAGGUUUGGCACCUCGAUGUCGGCUCGUCGCAUCCUGGGGCUGUAGCAGGUCCCAAGGGUCGGGCUGUCCGCCCGUUAAAGCCGGUACGCGAGCUGGGUUCAGAACGUCGUGAGACAGUUCGGUCCCUAUCCGUUGCGGGCGUAGGAGGCUUGAGAGGCGCUGCUCCCAGUACGAGAGGACCGGAGUGGACUGACCUCUGGUGUACCAGUUGUUCCGCCAGGAGCACACGCUGGGUAGCUAUGUCAGGACCAGAUAACCGCUGAAAGCAUCUAAGUGGGAAACUGACCUCAAGAUUAGGCCUCCGCAGGGUUAACCUGAUAAGACCCCACGUAGACCACGUGGUUGAUAGGCCGGGUGUGUAAGGCCAGCAAUGGCUUCAGCUUACCGGUACUAAUCGGUCGAAUCGCUUCAUAUG